GUUCUACACCAGACCAGUGGAGCCAAACUGCAGCCCAUCAUCAUCCUCAUCUGCUUGUAAGUAGGCAAUCUAGUAUAUUAUUAGUGACACUAAUCUAUAAUGUAUCUCACAUUAAAGGGACACUAUAGCUUAAUGAAGUGGUUCUGGUGUCUAUAGCUGGUCCCUGCAGGCUUUUUAAUGUAAACACACACUGUGUGCAGCACUGGCAUUAGUUCAUAUGGCAGAUCAUAUGGGUGGGGCAUUGUGAUGUGACAUGUGGGGGCAGCAAAUUUUUAUUUUGUCUAGGGCGGCAAAAAUCCUUGCAGGGAGGGAGCUGCAUGAGCUGCGCUGGCUCUGCUCCCCAGCACGCAGCUGAAUGAGACCGGCGCCGGAAUAGGACAUCAUAUUCCGGCGCCAGUCUCAUUCAGCAGCGCGCGAGGGCGGGAGGGCACUAACACAGGAAGCACCUCUAGUGACCGUCUGAGUGACUGUCACUAGCAGUGUCACUUUGAAGCAAUGUAAACACUGCCUUUUGUCUGAAAAGUUAGUGUUUACGUUGAAAAGCCUGUAGGGACAUGCUAUAGACACCAGUACCACCACAUUAAGCUGUGUGUGUGCGUCUGCUAGUGAGUGAGCUUGCUUGCAUGCGUGUGCCUGCCAGUGAGUGAGCUUGUGUUUUUAUGUCAAUGAGCUGAUGUAUAUCAGUAAGAUUGUUUGUCUAUGAGGCUGUGUAUCAAUGAGCUUGUGUGUGUCACUGAAAUGUCAGUGAAAUUGCCUGUGUCUGCAUGUGCGUAUGCUUACUGUAUAAUUAAACGCUUUACCCUGAAAGGACCAAUAUUUUAUAUUAGAAAAAGCAAUAUAUAUAUAUAUAUAUAUAUAUAUAUAUAUAUAUUUAUUACUCAAUCAUCUGUCCUGGCAAGACAUAGCCUUACAUAUUACACGCGACAAUAUAUGGCGCAGUGACUUAUGGGGCUGGCACAAAUUUUUUUUCCAGGGCUGCUUUGUAUGCCCAGUCCGGCCCUGCCGAAGGGGGGGUUGGGGGAGAACUAUAGUGCCAGGAAAACAAAGCCGUUUUCCUAUCGAAUCCCUUUAAGGCAAAAUAAAAUCUCUAAUGAGACUGAGAUGGGUAUUUUUCUAAACCCUUAAUAACCCUUAAAGGGAAACUAUGAUGUCAGGAUAACAAACUCAUUUUCCUUCCACUAUAGCUUCCCCCUUUGUCAAGCCCACCCCAUGAUGCAGAAAGGGUUUAUAACCCCUUCUGUCACUUACCUGGCACCAGCACAGGUGUCUUUCGGUGCUGGCUCAUCUCUGCCCAAGCUCCUCCCCUGCCGACGUCCGCCGGCGGUAGAGAUCUAAUGUGAAUGCGCAGCAAUGCCUGUGCUCGCGUUAGGAUCACCCCAUUGGGAAACAUUAUUCAAUGCUUUCCUAUGGGGAUUCCGGCGAUGCUGGAAAUCCUCAUGCAUUGCACAAGGACGUCCAGCGUCGUUUAGACAACAAAGUCGUCUAUUCACCCGGAAGUCCCUCUAGUGGCUGUCUGGUAGAGGAGGAGUUGACCUUAGCAGAUAAUUAUUACAGUUUAUAAAGCUGCAAUAAUUACAUGUUUAGGGUUAAGGGUGAUGGGAGUUUCCACCCAGACCACUUCAAUGAGCUGAAGUGGUGUGGGUGCCUACAUUGUCCCUUUAAUAGUGAACACAUGGGAUGGGUGGCAGCAUUGGAACAUAGCUGUGUGAUACAAAAGUGAAUACAAAUACAAAAAACAAGUACUUACAGCCAAUGGCCAUUUUAGUUACUAAAUAACCUUCAUUUAUUUAAAUAUACUCAGGGAUUUGAGAUAGAGCACAGGCAACCUUUUCUUCUUUGUUUUUUAUUGUAAGUAUUGGGGAUGAUGUGUACUAUAGUCAUUGCUGCCCAGGAGUAGUGGGAGUCUAAGUGUAGGACUUAUUUCUGUGUAUUUGUAUUUACUUUGUAUCACACAGCAAUUUUACAAUGCUACUGCCCAUCCCAUGUGUUCCCUAUUAAGGGUUAAUAAGUAUAUAGGGGUGUAUAUAGAAAAUACCCCUCUCCGUCUCAUUAGAGAUAUCAAGGAAGCACAGUGAAUGUCACCUACAAGGUUUGCCAUGACGCGACAGGUGAGUUUACACCUAAUGGCCACUGGAGUAACUAAAAACGGCCAGUUAUUUAAAUAUGCUCAGGGAUUUGGGGUAGUGUGCAGGCAACUCUUUUUUUUUUUUUUUUGGUUAAUUCUCAAAGUUUUGGAAUCUUGUGUCUAAGCCAAAAACAAGCGUUUAUGAGAUCACUGAGAGUGGUCAUCGUCUUAAACAGCCUUCAGUGGCCCAAAGAGGCCGACACCAAUCUCUCAUGCAGAGAAAACCUGCUGGCAUUUCAGAUCUGAACCUACCUGGAGAUGGCCAUGUGAGCUCAAACCUGUUUGAGACCUGAGUGGGCAGAAGGACAAGCUAUUUCAGCUGUUGUCCGUUCUCAGUAUACUCUCGUAAACUCUUGGUUUUGGCUAAUUUUAGGCAAAACGCAGUAAAAAUGGAAAUCGUCACUAAACAGUGAGUUCUGCUGCAUUGACAGAAGACUGGCACGUUUUAAGGUUUUAGUGCAGCUUUGAAUAAAAUAUUAAAAUAAAAUUUCCACUUUUAUUUGUGUAGAAAUGUGAGUGUUUCCAAUCCUGAGAUUUCUAAUGUUGCUUGCUAGGUUUUUACAUGUAUCUCAGAUCACUGCUUAGUGAAUACAACCUCCCAUACUGUUCUAUACCUCAUACUCCUCCCAUCAUUGACACAGAGUGAAAGUGAAAGUAACUUGUGCGAGAAACGAGGGAAAGAAAGAGCGCGAAGACCUGAAUUUAAACAAUCAAAUCACCGUUCAAAAUGUAGUGAAUUCUGUGACGGCUCCAUUAAAGGUAAAUCCCCGACUGGGUUUAAUCUGCUCUUAGCAGUGCUAGCAGAGACAAGCUUAAAGGGACACUAUAGUCACCAGAACAACUACAGCUUAACUCCUGUUAGUGGAUAGCUCUUCCACAAAUCGUCUGAGGGGAACUUCUUUCUAUUGUUAAUACAAUCAGUGAUGUCUGAGAACGAACUGAGAUCCUCCAGGGAAACCCAUAUUUCCAAAAUGUGCGCUGCCGUUCAUUGGGAAACGGGGGAGACUGUGAAAGCUUUGAGGAAUAUGUUGAGGUUUCUAAAAUUUUGAAUAACGAUCUCUGUCCUACUGUCUCUCUCUGUCUUUAGCUGUAUCUCUCCCCACCCUCCAUUUCUUCCUGUCUCUUUUUGUAUCUCUUCCCCUCUCUCUCCAUCUCCCCGUCUCUAUUACCUCUUCUUUCACAUACUCCCCCUGUUUCUCUGUCUCUUUCCCUGCCCCCCUCCCUAUGUCUCUCUAUCUCUUCUACAUGUCUUUUUCUCCUCCUCUCUCUCUCUCAGGCUGGCAGAGGGGUACAGAGAAAAAUAUCCUAUCACACUUCUGGCUAAGUUCUUGACCCCUAGAUCAGCACCAAAAUGUUUCCUUGCCCAUAGUUUUAGUGGAUUCCAAAUGGUGGUAAAAGACACAUUAUAUCCAGAAGGCACGGGGAGAUUGCAAACAAUAAAUGUCUACUGUAGCAGCAGAUCUUAACACUCACAGCAGAGACUGCUGUCGACAAAACGGAACGGAGUCUAAUGAAUGUGUUUUGUAAAUCUGAUGUUGUUGCAUAUUAUCCCGCAUUGGCAGAACGAGUCACCAUGUAUAUGUGUCAUUUGGGUCCCUGUCAAACAACCUCUGAUUUACUUUGUGAUUGUGUGUUUUGUUUUUUAUAAUGAGAGGAAUUCAUUGGUUUUCCGAUGUGAUGCAUGCAGUGUGUUAUAUGAUAUUAUUAUUGUUAUAAUUAUUAUUAUUUAUAUAGCGCCAUCAGAUUCCAUAGCGCUGUACAAUGGGAUGUACAUCUCAGGCAGUGUGGAGUAGGGUUCCAUAAACACCAAUAAUUCGAUAUUACACAUUGAAACCCCUCUGCUAACCACCUCUCCCCCCCCUCAGUUAGAACUCCAAGCCAGCUGAUAUAAUCCAGGGAUGUGGACCUCCCUCUACCUGUCCUGUACAUAUUUUGAAUAAACUUUUACAAUUAUUUUUUCAAAAUGUUAAAAUAUGAAAAAAAACUAUUAAAAAAAUAUGAAAACAAAAUACUGCA
rnacentral:lncRNA from 1 species